GGACAAUUAGAAAUUACUUUUCUUAAACUAAAGGGUUUUUUCCUUUCUAUAAAUAUUCAACCUUCUGUGUUUGAAAUAGAAUUCUCAGGCAAGGAGAGCUAGGCUAAACUAUGAUGUUGCGUAGGUUAAGUGUAUUAAAUGCAUUCUCAAUUAAUGGUAUUUUCAACCCACGAUGGAUUUAUUGGGAUGUAACUGCAUUGUAAGUUGAGGAGCACCUCUAUAUGCACUUGAUUUGCUUGUAUGGUGAUGUAUGCGUAGUG
rnacentral:lncRNA from 10 species